GCCAGUGUGGUACAGUGGUUUGAGAACUGGAUCACCACUCUGGAGAUCAGGGUUCGAUUCCCUGUUCGGCCA